rnacentral:misc_RNA from 1 species
UACGAAUGGGGCGAGCGUUGUUCGGAAUCACUGGGCUUAAAGCGUGCGCAGGCGGUUGUUCAAGUCAGAAGUGAAAGCCCCGGGCUCAACCCGGGAACUGCUUUUGAAACUGGAUGACUAGAGUCCCGGAGAGGUUAGGAGAAUUCCCAGUGUAGAGGUGAAAUUCGUAGAUAUUGGGAGGAAUACCAGUGGCGUAGGCGCCUAACUGGACGGGAACUGACGCUCAGGCACGAAAGCGUGGGGAGCAAACAGG